GCAGGACGGUUUAUUGACCUGGACAACAAAAAAUGAAGAUUUAGUAUGUUUUCAGAAUCAACAAAAUUCAUAUAGCAAAACACAAAGUUCUAAAACAUCAUAAAUUAUGUGUUCGCAAUUAGGAUCUAUGCAUUCUACAUGCAUUACAUGAUUUUUGGUUUCUGAUUCUCAGUUUGCCCUCUGUUUGGUGUCAUAAAGUAGCUACUUGACUCCAAAGACUUUCCACCAAUCCCAGCAGAGGGCCUGCAAAAAUUCAGAAUAAUACUUAUAAAGAAUUCUCUAAAACUAUAUAAUAGAGUAUUGACAUUUUUCGCAUGACACUAACCUUUUCCCUACCACAUUAUUAACACCAUUAGCAACGUUUAUAUGCCUUGAAGUACUCUGCACAUACAUAAAGCAUGAGGAAAUGUUAAUAUUGGUCACACACCUGAUAGUGUAUCUAAAUAGAUAUGGAAUCCUCAAUUUUACCUUGCUCAUGAGACCUAAUUUCGAAUUUGCUUUUGCCAGACUAUCUUUGGUACUUGAAGAAGUUGCUG
rnacentral:lncRNA from 1 species